GCAGCAGCCGCGGGAAUACGUAGGGUGCGAGCGUUAAUCGGAAUUACUGGGCGUAAAGCGUGCGCAGGCGGUUAUAUAAGACAGAUGUGAAAUCCCCGGGCUCAACCUGGGACCUGCAUUUGUGACUGUAUAGCUAGAGUACGGUAGAGGGGGAUGGAAUUCCGCGUGUAGCAGUGAAAUGCGUAGAUAUGCGGAGGAACACCGAUGGCGAAGGCAAUCCCCUGGACCUGUACUGACGCUCAUGCACGAAAGCGUGGGGAGCAAACAGAAUUAGAUACCCCUGUAGUCCCUGUCUCUUAUAC
rnacentral:rRNA from 1 species